AGAGUUUGAUCUGGCUCAGGAUGAACGCUGGCGGCGUGCUUAACACAUGCAAGUAGAACGAAGCACCUUGAUUUGAUUCUUCGGAUGAAGAUCUUGGUGACUGAGUGGCGGACGGGUGAGUAACGCGUGGGUAACCUGCCUUGUACAGGGGGAUAACAGUUAGAAAUGACUGCUAAUACCGCAUAAGACCACAGCACCGCAUGGUGCAGGGGUAAAAACUCCGGUGGUAUGAGAUGGACCCGCGUCUGAUUAGGUAGUUGGUGGGGUAACGGCCUACCAAGCCGACGAUCAGUAGCCGACCUGAGAGGGUGACCGGCCACAUUGGGACUGAGACACGGCCCAAACUCCUACGGGAGGCAGCAGUGGGGAAUAUUGCACAAUGGGGGAAACCCUGAUGCAGCGACGCCGCGUGAGCGAUGAGGUAUUUCGGUAUGUAAAGCUCUAUCAGCAGGGAAGAAAAUGACGGUACCUGACUAAGAAGCACCGGCUAAAUACGUGCCAGCAGCCGCGGUAAUACGUAUGUGCAAGCGUUAUCCGGAUUUACUGGGUGUAAAGGGAGCGUAGACGGAGUGGCAAGUCUGAUGUGAAAACCCGGGGCUCAACCCCGGGACUGCAUUGGAAACUGUCAAUCUAGAGUACCGGAGAGGUAAGCGGAAUUCCUAGUGUAGCGGUGAAAUGCGUAGAUAUUAGGAGGAACACCAGUGGCGAAGGCGGCUUACUGGACGGUAACUGACGUUGAGGCUCGAAAGCGUGGGGAGCAAACAGGAUUAGAUACCCUGGUAGUCCACGCCGUAAACGAUGACUACUAGGUGUCGGGCAGCAAAGCUGUUCGGUGCCGCAGCAAACGCAAUAAGUAGUCCACCUGGGGAGUACGUUCGCAAGAAUGAAACUCAAAGGAAUUGACGGGGACCCGCACAAGCGGUGGAGCAUGUGGUUUAAUUUGAAGCAACGCGAAGAACCUUACCUGCUCUUGACAUCUCCCUGACCGGCAAGUAAUGUUGCCUUUCCUUCGGGACAGGGAUGACAGGUGGUGCAUGGUUGUCGUCAGCUCGUGUCGUGAGAUGUUGGGUUAAGUCCCGCAACGAGCGCAACCCCUAUCUUUAGUAGCCAGCGGUUUGGCCGGGCACUCUAGAGAGACUGCCAGGGAUAACCUGGAGGAAGGUGGGGAUGACGUCAAAUCAUCAUGCCCCUUAUGAGCAGGGCUACACACGUGCUACAAUGGCGUAAACAAAGGGAGGCAGAACCGCGAGGUCGAGCAAAUCCCAAAAAUAACGUCUCAGUUCGGAUUGUAGUCUGCAACUCGACUACAUGAAGCUGGAAUCGCUAGUAAUCGCGAAUCAGAAUGUCGCGGUGAAUACGUUCCCGGGUCUUGUACACACCGCCCGUCACACCAUGGGAGUCAGUAACGCCCGAAGUCAGUGACCCAACCGUAAGGAGGGAGCUGCCGAAGGUGGGACCGAUAACUGGGGUGAAGUCGUAACAAGGUA
rnacentral:rRNA from 1 species